rnacentral:lncRNA from 1 species
CCCCUAAGCAGUUUCCUGUGCUCUGGUGAUGGGCAGAACGGCACAGACAAUGAGGGAACAUGACUGGAAUACGGAGGCAGCCGUCCUUGCUGCUCGGCGUCCGUAUGGAGAGAGGUGCUCGGCGAUCUUCCCAACAACGAAAGAACACUGUGUGCUCCCGCCUUCAUAG